rnacentral:snRNA from 1 species
AUCGCUUCUCGGCCUUUUGGCUAAGAUCAAGUGUAGUAUCUGUUCUUAUCAGUUUAAAUAAGACUUAUUUUAUAACAAUAUUUUUGUAAUUGUAUAUCAUUUAAUUAGUUGUUUGUUUCAUCAAUUAGAUGUUUAUAUAAAUUACUAGAGGUCCAGUGCCCGAAAUUCAUGCAUGAGUAGGGUCCCUAGGCCUGACCGGCG